rnacentral:rRNA from 1 species
CCUACGGGGUGCAGCAGUAGGGAAUAUUGCUCCAUGGGGGAAACCCUGAAGCAGCAACGCCGCGUGGAGGAUGAAGGUUUUAGGAUUGUAAACUCCUUUUGUUAGAGAAGAUAAUGACGGUAUCUAACGAAUAAGCACAGGCUAACUCCGUGCCAGCAGCCGCGGUAAUACGGAGGGUGCAAGCGUUACUCGGAAUCACUGGGCGUAAAGAGCGCGUAGGCGGGAUAGCACGUCAGAUGUGAAAUGCUAUGGCUUAAACAAAGAACUGCAUUUGACACUGUUAUUCUAGAGUAUGGGAGAGGUAGGUGGAAUGCUUGGUGUAGGGGCAAAAUCCGUAGAGAUCAAGAAGAACACUCAUUGCGAAGGCGACCUGCUAGAACAUAACGGACGCUGAGGCGCGAAAGCGUGGGGAGCAAACAGGAUUAGAUACCCGGGUAGUC